CAGGUACCAUAAUUUUUCCCCCAGCAGAGUGAGAAACAUCCCUAGUUUUCUUCAUAAUUUUGGAAAAACUUGAUUGUAGGGAGAAGAUUCAAGUUCCAUGGACCGAUAUUUGUGUAGGAUUUAUUGACUGUAUUUUUCUCAAUGAGGAUCAUUAUAAAUCAUAAAUAAAUCAUUUGUAGACUGUUAA